rnacentral:ncRNA from 2 species
UUGUCGAGCCAGGGGUGCAUUUUGCUGAGAGAGGUUGUUAACCUUAUCCCUUACCAUCUGAACUGGGUAAUGCCAGCGUAGAGAGUGCAAAUAGGAUUUUUU